GUGAGGAAUAUUGCACAAUGGAGGCAACUCUGACGCAGCCAUGCCGCGUGCAGGAAGAAGGCGCUACGCGUUGUAAACUGCUUUUAACCGGGAAGAAACCCCAGGACGUGUCCUGGGUUGACGGUACCGGAGGAAUAAGCACCGGCUAACUUCGUGCCAGCAGCCGCGGUAAUACGAAGGGUGCAAGCGUUAUCCGGAUUCAUUGGGUUUAAAGGGUGCGUAGGCGGAGCGUUAAGUCAGUGGUGAAAUCCUGCAGCUUAACUGUAGACUUGCCAUUGAUACUGGCGCUCUUGAGUGCGCUUGAAGUGGGCGGAAUGUGCCGUGUAGCGGUGAAAUGCUUAGAUAUGGCACAGAACACCAAUUGCGAAGGCAGCUCACUAAGGCGAUACUGACGCUGAGGCACGAAAGCGUGGGGAUCGAACAGGAUUAGAAACCCGUGUAGUCC
rnacentral:rRNA from 1 species